UCCUUCCAGUUCCACACUCCAGAGCGAAUCCAGCGGCAGCCUCCACCCUCUAGCCUUUUCCCUUCCGCGCGACCUCGACCCCGACCCCGGCUCAGUCUCAGAGUCUCAAACCUCACCUGAGUCACCUCGAUCGCGCAACCUCGACCCCGGCUCGACCCCGCAACACCGACUUCGACCCCGCGACCCUCAAGCCGUCGACCUUGAGCCUUCUUUCCAACCUCAGACAAAGACGACCUCACCUCGACGGCUCAACCUCAGGCGACACAAGUUCAUAAAUGGUUGUGGAUUUUCUGAAAUUUUCGAGAGGCCUCAUAUAUUGUCCUCUACCGAAGAUGCUGCAGUCGGUUUAUGAGUUUUGUGGUCUCGGACUUGCACACGUACUACUCCGAGAACAUGAACUUGGUGAAGUGCUUGUCCACUGCGAAGCAUAGGCACAAUGUUCUUCUUGUUGCUGGCGAUGUAGCGGAGACGUAUAAGAACUUUGUCAAUUGUAAGGGAUACCAGUUUCCUUUAUCAUUUACUUUUGUUGCUACUCCGAAUUCAGCAAUGUUAGUGAAUUGUCCUUCUAUAAUUCUAUUGAAUGAAAGAUUGGUGCCCAGAUUAUGUAAAUCUUGAUUCUUUUU